UGGGUUGUAUAGAGUAUCUC
rnacentral:siRNA from 1 species